GACAACAGUUGGAAACGACUGCUAAUACCGCAUAAGCCCACGGGUCGGCAUCGACCAGAGGGAAAAGGAGCAAUCCGCUUUGAGAUGGCCUCGCGUCCGAUUAGCUAGUUGGUGAGGUAAUGGCCCACCAAGGCGACGAUCGGUAGCCGGACUGAGAGGUUGAACGGCCACAUUGGGACUGAGACACGGCCCAGACUCCUACGGGAGGCAGCAGUGGGGAAUAUUGCACAAUGGGGGAAACCCUGAUGCAGCGACGCCGCGUGGAGGAAGAAGGUCUUCGGAUUGUAAACUCCUGUUGUUGAGGAAGAUAAUGACGGUACUCAACAAGGAAGUGACGGCUAACUACGUGCCAGCAGCCGCGGUAAAACGUAGGUCACAAGCGUUGUCCGGAAUUACUGGGUGUAAAGGGAGCGCAGGCGGGAAGACAAGUUGGAAGUGAAAUCUAUGGGCUCAACCCAUAAACUGCUUUCAAAACUGUUUUUCUUGAGUAGUGCAGAGGUAGGCGGAAUUCCCGGUGUAGCGGUGGAAUGCGUAGAUAUCGGGAGGAACACCAGUGGCGAAGGCGGCCUACUGGGCACCAACUGACGCUGAGGCUCGAAAGUGUGGGUC
rnacentral:rRNA from 1 species